rnacentral:lncRNA from 1 species
AUGCCCUCGUCAAGUUUUCGUCAUUUUUGUCAAGCCUCUAUGUUUGCUUUCGUUUCUUGAUGCAUAUGUUGUUGUGGCUUUGAUCAUUUUUGUCGAAUUUGUUGUGGUUUUGGUCGUUCUUUAAGAGCCAAAGUAUGUUAGCUUUUAUUUAAGUUUUUAUUUUUUUUAUCAGCAAUUUUUUUUUUUUAAUAAUAUGCUAUGAACUUUUUUUAUUUAAGUUUUUAUUGUAUGAUUGUAUGACUGAAUUGAUUGUAUGAUUUU